GACGAACGCUGGCGGCGUGCCUAAUACAUGCAAGUCGAGCGGACCGAAUGGAAGCUUGCUUUCAUUCGGUUAGCGGCGGACGGGUGAGUAACACGUGGGUAACCUGCCCGUAAGACCGGGAUAACUCCGGGAAACCGGGGCUAAUACCGGAUAACACCGAAGACCGCAUGGUCUUCGGUUGAAAGGUGGCUUCGGCUACCACUUACGGAUGGGCCCGCGGCGCAUUAGCUAGUUGGUGAGGUAACGGCUCACCAAGGCGACGAUGCGUAGCCGGCCUGAGAGGGUGACCGGCCACACUGGGACUGAGACACGGCCCAGACUCCUACGGGAGGCAGCAGUAGGGAAUCUUCCGCAAUGGACGAAAGUCUGACGGAGCGACGCCGCGUGAGCGAAGAAGGUCUUCGGAUCGUAAAGCUCUGUUGUUAGGGACGAAGAAGUACCGUUCGAAUAGGGCGGUACGGUGACGGUACCUAACGAGAAAGCCCCGGCUAACUACGU
rnacentral:rRNA from 1 species